GUUGCCUGAAAAAGUGAGAAACACAUUCCGAAUUCUAGUAACCAGCAUCAUAUAGAAAUAAUCAGUACCAGUGGAUACGUAGGGAUACGUAGGGAUACGUAGGGGUAGGUAUAUGUAAAGGUACGUACGUCGAGUUCAAAUUUCACUUAAAUAAAUACUUUAAUCAGUAAAACGUGAAUGGGUAUUAAUUGGGAUGGAUGACAUUAAAUUCUAUAACAAUGCAACAACCAAAAACAGCAAUGGUUUAUCGUUGAUAUUAACGUGCAGUGACAAAAGUAAUAGAAAAGUUGAUAUCUUCCACCGAGAUCUGUCAAUCCUCGACAAUAAUGUUGUACACACGUCAUUUUUCAGCAGUAAAAAGAUCAAAACUUCAGAGGAAAAAGUUUUCAUUGAGACGAUCAUCAUUCAAAGACCAGAUUAAAAAGACCUAACUGGACCUUGGGAGCGCCAUCUUUAUGAAUUCCAACGUCGUUCGUUGCCACUCCUUUGACACUACCAUCGUCGUGAUACAAAACCUAAAACAUGAAAUGUAUUCCUAUUUUGAAAUUCCGAAAACCCGAGUUCACAGGAAAGAACCCUGUACAUGCAUCAGAAAUUUGUCUUCGCAAAAGAAUCAAGGUCAAGUGGACGUAGACCCAGUUAAAUCAAUCACGUAACAAUUAAAUGGUAAGUAAUAUACAGAUAAUGGCAAAGUGUGUAUACGUUCAAAGUGAUAUUUUUGUUAUCAGGUAAGUUAUAGAGAAAGAUAAAUACGGAGUCAACGUACAGUGAUGUUUGAAGGCAACAACAUACGUAAAGUCAAAAAUGAAUAAGCCAAAGAAUGAAUAUACGUAUGUUUGGUUACUUAACUAUCACAAACACAAACCAUCACUAGAACCCACACAAUCCUGCUAGCAUAUCAUAAUAAAACCAUCAAAGAUGUGAAAAAUGUUACCUCACUUGCAGCAAAACCUGGAUAAACUUCGACACCCAACUCCUCAGCCUGCUCUCCCAACCAGCUUACAAAAUUACCAAGACGAACAAUGUAGUUUCCGUGAUUGUUCAUUGGCAUACCUCAAAAUUAACAGCUAAUUAACUAUGCACAUUUAGGCACUUUGUAGUAAACAGUUUGUUGUGCCAGUUUAAUGUUUUUGCUGGAAUAGUCAAACAAUUCCUUGAUACAGUGUAAAUGUUCUCUGCUUGUUAACCUUACAAUUUUUAGACUUGUGACCACAGCAAAGUCUGUAUUUUACUAUCAUGAAAUACAUAAACACAUUCCACAUUUUACCUGGUAAAA